rnacentral:rRNA from 1 species
UAAUACGUGCCGAAAGCCGCAUUCAGCAAUGAGUGUGGUGCACUUAUCGGAGCAAAACCCUUCCUGGUUUUAUGCUAACUCUGGAUAACACUGCUUAUCGCACGACCUCGUGUCGGCGAAGUUACAUUCAAGUAUCUGCCUUAUCAACUAUCGUUGGUAGUGUAUUGGACUACCAUGGUGUUGACGGGUAACGGAGAAUCAGGGUUCGACUCCGGAGAGGGAGCCUUAGAAACGGCUACCAUGUCUAAGGACAGCAGCAGGCGCGCAACUUAUCCACUGUUCAUCGAACGAGAUAGUGACGAGAAAUAACAAGCCCGUUCUCUUUGAGGUCGGGCAUUGGAAUGGAUGGAAUGCAAACAAUUCCAUGAGUACCCACGAGAGGGCAAGUCUGGUGCCAGCAGCCGCGGUAAUUCCAGCUCUCGUAAUGUAUAGAAUUAUUGUUGCGGUUAAAAAGUUCGUAGUUGGAUUUUCUACCACUCGCAGGUCGUGCCUAACGGCGCGCACUUGUGGUGGUUUUUGCACGKUGARUYGAUUCGUCAGUUCCGCGUGCGGAUUACUUUGAACGGCUUAAGUGCUCAAGGCGAGUCUUCGGACUGAAUACCGGUGCAUGGAAUAAUGGAACAAGGUUUCGGCCGAGUUUUAUUGGUUUUGUCGGCUGAGACAAUGGUUAACAGGAACAGCUGGGGGCACUCGUAUCGCUACGCGAGAGGUGAAAUUCGUGGACCGUAGCGAGACGCCCGAAAGCGAAGGCAUUUGCCAAGAGUGUUUUCAUUAAUCAAGAACGAAAGUCAGAGGUUCGAAGGCGAUUAGAUACCGCCCUAGUUCUGAACCGU